GUUAACCUAACGUCAUCCUAUGUAUUAAUUUACAGGUCUUGCAAAAUGUGUGUUCAUAUUUCUUGUUAUGUAACUGUUCAAGUGUAAUAUGCCUGGUUCACCUGCAGAUGGCGGCAUAAAUGGCAGAGCUAUUUUACCUAGAAUGGAACCUUUCUUUCCAUUCUAGCUCUCUCUAAGAGAGGGAGGGACUAGUUAAUCCCCUGCCAAAGAAGG